CUAUAAACCAAGACAAGUUCAAGGUACAAGCAUCAGAAGAAAGGAAGCACUCCAAAGAAGUGAUUUUAAAACAGCUUUCCUGAACUGUUAGACAAGCUUCUAAGGACACUAAUAGGGGUCAGCAACUAGUGCUAAAUCUGGCCCUAAAUGUCAGGCGUUCAGCUGCGAAGAAAUGACUGUCUUGUUGCACCUGUAAGAGAGAACUCAACAUGAACAUGAGAUGGGAGAAAGUUCAGUAUUAUAAACACGAUGAGCGCAAGAAAACGGGUCUGUAUUUGUCAUCUUCGUUGUGGAAAAUAGCAGGAAAGUGCUUCCCGUCAGGGGCCCGACGCACGCUAGAAAAGACGUUGCAGAAGGGAGAUACGAAGCUGUGAAGAGUCAAGGUCAGUUAAUUGUGCCUGGGUUCAAUGAAGCUCUAACUCUA
rnacentral:lncRNA from 1 species